rnacentral:rRNA from 1 species
AACGAACGCUGGCGGCAUGCCUAACACAUGCAAGUCGAACGAGACCUUCGGGUCUAGUGGCGCACGGGUGCGUAACGCGUGGGAACCUGCCCUUAGGUUCGGAAUAACUCCCCGACAGGGGUGCUAAUACCGGAUAAUUUCUUCGGACCAAAGAUUUAUCGCCUUUGGAUGGGCCCGCGUUGGAUUAGCUAGUUGGUAGGGUAAAAGCCUACCAAGGCGACGAUCCAUAGCUGGUCUGAGAGGAUGAUCAGCCACACUGGGACUGAGACACGGCCCAGACUCCUACGGGAGGCAGCAGUGGGGAAUAUUGGACAAUGGGCGAAAGCCUGAUCCAGCAAUGCCGCGUGAGUGAUGAAGGCCUUAGGGAUGUAAAGCUCUUUUACCCGGGAUGAUAAUGACAGUACCGGGAGAAUAAGCUCCGGCUAACUCCGUG